CCAAAACAGUCAACAAGAAAACAGUCAGCAAAAACAGUCAACAAGAAAACAGUCAACAAGAAAACAGUCAACCAUAAUCAGUCAACAAGUAAACAGUCAACAAGAAAACAGUCAGCAAAAACAGUCAACAAGAAAACAGUCAACAAGAAUACAGUCAACAAGAAAACAGUCAGCAAAAACAGUCAACAAGAAAACAGUCAACAAGAAAACAGUCAACCAUAAUCAGUCAACAAGUAAACAGUCAACAAGAAAACAGUCAGCAAAAACAGUCAACAAGAAAACAGUCAACAAGAAAACAGUCAGCAAAAACAGUCAACAAGAAAACAGUCAACCAUAAUCAGUCAACAAGAAAACAGUCAGCAAGAAAAUAGUCAACCAUAAACAGUCAACAAGUAAACAGUCAACAAGAUAACAGUGAGCAAGAAAACAGUCAGCAAGAAAACAGUCAACAAGAAAAUGCUGCUCCCCCGUGUCGUUCAGGAGCCCAAACAAAGUUAGCGUGCUACAAUAUCGGACAGUAGAAACCAACCAGAAAGUUCGGAAAAUUGUCUGAAUCCUCCUUUGGCCACGACUGCCGACACAAGCAAGA